CUGCUGCCUCCCGUAGGAGUUUGGGCCGUGUCUCAGUCCCAAUGUGGCCGGUCACCCUCUCAGGUCGGCUACUGAUCGUUGCCUUGGUGAGCCGUUACCUCUCCAACUAGCUAAUCAGACGCAGGUCCAUCUCAUACCACCUCAGUUUUUCACACCAAACCAUGCGGUUUUGUGCGCUUAUGCGGUAUUAGCAGUCAUUUCUAACUGUUAUCCCCCUGUAUGAGGCAGGUUACCCACGCGUUACUCACCCCG
rnacentral:rRNA from 1 species